rnacentral:misc_RNA from 1 species
UCGUAACAAAGGUGCGGGAGGUGCACUCGGGCUGUCGCCGACCCGAAAAGGUCGUGCACGUCGGAGGGCAUCCUCUCGUGCGAAAUCCAUCUCACCCUUUUGUGCACCACCGCGUGGGCCCCCUUCUCGGAGGGGGCUCGCGUUUUCCACACAAACCCCCUUUGUAAACAUACAUAGAAGGAACCCACUGUUUGCGUUGACACGCGAUCAAUA